GACGAACGCUGGCGGCGUGCUUAACACAUGCAAGUCGAACGGAAAGGCCCUGCUUUUGUGGGGUGCUCGAGUGGCGAACGGGUGAGUAACACGUGAGUAACCUGCCCUUGACUUUGGGAUAACUUCAGGAAACUGGGGCUAAUACCGGAUAGGAGCUCCUGCUGCAUGGUGGGGGUUGGAAAGUUUCGGCGGUUGGGGAUGGACUCGCGGCUUAUCAGCUUGUUGGUGGGGUAGUGGCUUACCAAGGCUUUGACGGGUAGCCGGCCUGAGAGGGUGACCGGCCACAUUGGGACUGAGAUACGGCCCAGAAUCCUACGGGAGGCAGCAGUGGGGAAUAUUGAACAAUGGGCGGAAGCCUGAUGAAGAAACGCCGCGUGCGGGAUGACGGCCUUCGGGUUGUAAACCGCUUUCGCCUGUGACGAAGCGUGAGUGACGGUAAUGGGUAAAGAAGCACCGGCUAACUACGUG
rnacentral:rRNA from 1 species